rfam:Triticum aestivum genome assembly, contig: Triticum_aestivum_CS42_TGACv1_scaffold_603241_7DL
CCUCUUCAAGAUGAAGAACUCAUCUUUCACAUCCUCUCCAACACCGACCUUGACUACCAGCCGCUAAUCUCCGCCCUUGAAGUCCGCACCGAGCCACUCUCCCUCGACCACCUCUACGCGCUUAUGUCAAAUUUUGAUC